UGAUAACACGUAUCCAACCUGCCGUCUACUCUUGGACAGCCUUCUGAAAGGAAGAUUAAUACAAGAUGGCAUCAUGAGUUCACAUGUUCACAUGAUUAAAGGUAUUCCGGUAGACGAUGGGGAUGCGUUCCAUUAGAUAGUAGGCGGGGUAACGGCCCACCUAGUCUUCGAUGGAUAGGGGUUCUGAGAGGAAGGUCCCCCACAUUGGAACUGAGACACGGUCCAA
rnacentral:rRNA from 1 species